rnacentral:rRNA from 1 species
GACGAACGCUGGCGGCGUGCUUAACACAUGCAAGUCGAACGAAGCUUCAUUACGGAUUCUCCGGUUGAAGUAUGAUAUGACUGAGUGGCGGACGGGUGAUUAACGCCUGAUUAACCUGCCCUUCAGAGGGGGAUAGCGUUUGGCUACGAACGGUAAUACCGCACAAUUUAUUUUGACCGCAUGAUCGAAAUACCAAAGAUUUAUCGCUGAAUGAUGGACUCGCGUCUGAUUAGGUAGUUGGUGGGGUAAAGCCCUACCAAGAGGACGAUCAGUAGCCGGAGAAAGAAGACAAGCGGCCGAAUUGGAAGGGAGGCAGGAGCCGGAAAUCUACGGGAAGGAGCGGUAGGGAAAAUUAGACAAUGCGCGCAAGCGUGAUACGGCAACGGAGCGUGAAGGAAGACGGUUGUCGAAUUAUAAACGUCUGUUCUUAGUGAAGAGUAAUGACGGUAGCUAAGGAGCAAGCCACGGCUAACUACGUG